UCCCUGGUGGUCCAAUAGCUAAGACUCUGAGUUCUCAAUGCAGCGGCCCUGGUUCAAUCCCUGGUCAGGGAA
rfam:Ovis aries breed Texel Tnplaced_Contig5241_fixed, whole genome shotgun sequence.